AUAAAAGCGAGUUCCUUUAAGGAAGAAGCAGAGAGAGGAAAGUUUGCUGUGAGCUGCUGAAAAACAACAGAACAACGAGACAAAGAAGGGCUGCUUCUUGUGUGUUCGAGGCUACGUUGUUUUAUUCUGAACAAUUUCGAAGAAAGACGGUUCUGUGUGUUCAAAGAAUGCUUUUGCGAGUAGUUUGAGUUUGUGUGGGGUGGCGGUUCGCCGAAUUAUGUCCUCUAAUUAUCUUAAAGAGUGGAGGAGGAAACGGAGUAGAGUGGAAGCUCAGGUUUUGGGUCUUCAAUCCUUGUGGAAUUAAAGAGCCUCAAUGCAAAAAAUGAAUGUGGACCCAACCGGUGUAACCCAGUCUAUAAUGGGUGGUGCCCAAUUGCCAUUGAGCAAUCUGCCAGCGAUGAAGAAUUGCCACAGGAGGAUCUUGAACCUCAGGUUUUGGGUUAUUCUUCGACAGCUGGGAGGGUAUACAAGUACCCCAUGCCAGAGAAAAGGAUGAGAAUUUUCUGUGGAUCCGCGGAUUUCCGUGUUUUUUCCCGUCGGAAGUAUCAU